UGGGGAAUCUUGCACAAUGGGGGAAACCCUGAUGCAGCGACGCCGCGUGAGUGAUGAAGCCCUUCGGGGUGUAAAGCUCUUUCGACGGGGACGAUUAUGACGGUACCCGGAGAAGAAGCUGCGGCUAACUACGUGCCAGCAGCCGCGGUAAUACGUAGGCAGCAAGCGUUGUUCGGAAUUACUGGGCGUAAAGGGUGCGUAGGCGGUUGGGCAAGUUUGGUGUGAAAUCUCCCGGCUUAACUGGGAGGGUGCGCCGAAAACUGCCCGGCUAGAGUAUGGGAGAGGGAAGCGGAAUUCCUGGUGUAGCGGUGAAAUGCGUAGAUAUCAGGAGGAACACCUGCGGUGUAGACAGUUUCCUGGACCAUUACUGACGCUGAUGCACGAAAGCGUGGGGAGCAAA
rnacentral:rRNA from 1 species